rnacentral:rRNA from 1 species
CGCAUCUGUGCAUGCAGCAUAUCAAUAAGCGGAGGAAAAGAAACUAACAAGGAUUCCCUUAGUAACGGCGAGUGAAGCGGGAAGAGCUCAAAUUUGAAAUCUUCAAGGGUUUACCUUUACGAAUUGUAGUUUAAAGAAGUGUUUUCUGCUGAGGUUUUGGUAAAAGUUCUUUGGAAUAGGACAUCAUAGAGGGUGAGAAUCCCGUAUUUGACCAUUACUUUCAACUUUGUGAUACACUUUCAAAGAGUCGGAUUGUUUGGGAAUGCAGUCCAAAAUGGGUGGUAAAUUUCAUCUAAAGCUAAAUAUUGGCGAGAGACCGAUAGCGAACAAGUACCGUGAGGGAAAGAUGAAGAGAACUUUGAAAAGAGAGUUAAACAGUACGUGAAAUUGUCAAAAGGGAAGCGUUUGACACCAGUGUUGUUUUUCUGAAAAUCAAUUAAAGAACUGUUUAUGCUAAGCUGUUUAGACUUUAUCAGCUAUCUGUUUAGUUUUGAGCUUUUCUUUAAUGCACUUUUCAGUUAACAAGUCAACAUCAAUUUCUUUUGCUGUAAAAAAGCUUGAGGAAGGUGGCUUGAGAUUCGUCUUAAGUGUUUAUAGCCUCUUGCCUAUGCAGUCGGAGAGAUUGAGGUCUGCAGCGUAGAUCCUUCGGGGCUAAAUGCAUUUGUGCUAAGUUAUAGCAUUUUAUAGACAACUUGUUGACUAUGAUUUGUCUUGUAGCUUACUCGCUUAUGCUAUUUUACCUACGCUUAGGAUGUUGAUAGUCACAGCGUGUAC